GACGAACGCUGGCGGCGUGCUUAACACAUGCAAGUCGAACGGAAAGGCCCUGCUUUUGUGGGGUGCUCGAGUGGCGAACGGGUGAGUAACACGUGAGUAACCUGCCCUUGACUUUGGAAUAACUUCAGGAAACUGGGGCUAAUACCGGAUAGGAGCUCCUGCUGCAUGGUGGGGGUUGGAAAGUUUCGGCGGUUGGGGAUGGACUCGCGGCUUAUCAGCUUGUUGGUGGGGUAGUGGCUUACCAAGGCUUUGACGGGUAGCCGGCCUGAGAGGGUGACCGGCCACAUUGGGACUGAGAUACGGCCCAGACUCCUACGGGAGGCAGCAGUGGGGAAUAUUGCACAAUGGGCGGAAGCCUGAUGCAGCAACGCCGCGUGCGGGAUGACGGCCUUCGGGUUGUAAACCGCUUUCGCCUGUGACGAAGCGUGAGUGACGGCAAUGGGUAAAGAAGCACCGGCUAACUACGUG
rnacentral:rRNA from 1 species